rnacentral:rRNA from 1 species
AGUGAACGCUGGCGGUAGGCCUAACACAUGCAAGUCGAACGGCAGUACAGAGGAGCUUGCUCCUUGGGCGGCGAGUGGCGGACGGGUGAGGAAUACAUCGGAAUCUACUCUGUCGUGGGGGAUAACGUAGGGAAACUUACGCUAAUACCGCAUACGACCUACGGGUGAAAGCAGGGGAUCUUCGGACCUUGCGCGAUUGAAUGAGCCGAUGUCGGAUUAGCUAGUUGGCGGGGUAAAGGCCCACCAAGGCGACGAUCCGUAGCUGGUCUGAGAGGAUGAUCAGCCACACUGGAACUGAGACACGGUCCAGACUCCUACGGGAGGCAGCAGUGGGGAAUAUUGGACAAUGGGCGCAAGCCUGAUCCAGCCAUACCGCGUGGGUGAAGAAGGCCUUCGGGUUGUAAAGCCCUUUUGUUGGGAAAGAAAUCCAUCUGGUUAAUACCCGGGUGGGAUGACGGUACCCAAAGAAUAAGCACCGGCUAACUUCGUGCCAGCCGCCGCAGUAA